GACGAACGCUGGCGGCGUGCUUAACACAUGCAAGUCGAACGUGAUUUUUGUGGAAAUUCCUUCGGGAAUGGAAGUGAAAUGAAAGUGGCGAACGGGUGAGUAACACGUGAGCAACCUACCUUACACAGGGGGAUAGCCGUUGGAAACGACGAUUAAUACCGCAUGAGACCACAGUAUCGCAUGAUAUAGGGGUCAAAGAUUUAUCGGUGUAAGAUGGGCUCGCGUCUGAUUAGCUAGUUGGAAGGGUAAAGGCCUACCAAGGCGACGAUCAGUAGCCGGUCUGAGAGGAUGAACGGCCACAUUGGAACUGAGACACGGUCCAAACUCCUACGGGAGGCAGCAGUGGGGAAUAUUGCACAAUGGGGGGAACCCUGAUGCAGCGACGCCGCGUGAGCGAAGAAGGUUUUCGAAUCGUAAAGCUCUGUCCUAUGAGAAGAUAA
rnacentral:rRNA from 1 species